CGCUCCGUCCUAGGGGAGUAGUCUCCCGCGAGCACCCAGCUCGCCCGGUACGCGUCAACAUACUUGGUCCACAGACCAUGGCGCGUGCGACCCACGGUCCGCACAGACGGACCCAGGGUU
rfam:Pseudomonas alkylphenolica strain KL28 chromosome, complete genome.